rnacentral:tRNA from 1 species
ACCAUAAAUAGCUCAGCCAGUAGAGCACGAGACUCUUAAUCUCAGGGUUGUGGGUUCGAGCCCCAAGUUGGGCU